UGAACUGGCUUGAAUGUCCAGGCCCAGAGAGUGCUGGUGAACGGGGUUGCGUCCAGUUGGGAUCCAGUCACCACUGGUGUCCCCCAGGGAUCAGUGCUGGGACCAGUCCUGUUUAACAU